GACCUAAACAAGUUUCUGGUCAGAGCGCGCUUCCGUAUGGUCUCCCUUGGAACUAUUAUCCCAUCCCUGGAUCCGGGGGAUUGGUACGCUGCCCUCGAUAUGAAAGAUGCCUACUUUCACAUCGCUAUCAAUCCGGCCCACAGGCGGUUCCUGCGCUUCAUUAUCAACCAGCGCCAUUUCCAAUUUACGGUCCUGCCUUUUGGCCUGGCAUCAGCACCACGAGUAUUCACGAAAUGCAUGUCCGUGGUAGCAGCCUUCCUUCGGAAGAGAAGGAUGCGUGUGUUCCCGUACUUGGACGACUGGCUUCUCGCGGGCAGGUCGGAGGCCGAGGUCCGAUCUCACGUGACGCUGGCCUUGCAGAUGUUCGACAGACUCGGCCUCCGGGUCAAUGUGCCCAAGUCCACAUUAGUCCCCACACAGAGGCUGGACUUCAUAGGUGCGACCCUGGACUCGGUAACCGCGCGGGCAAGCCUCCCAGAGUCACGGUUCCUGACAAUUCAGAGGGCCGUAAGCUCAGUCCAAAAAUUCCCCACAACAACGGCAAGGUGUUGCAUGCAGCUCCUGGGACACAUGGCAGCUUGCACACAUGUGGUCAGACAUGCCCGCCUAAGGCUCCGGCCUUUGCAGUUGUGGUUUGCCCAAACGUACGGCCCCAACAGAGACCCAUUGGAUCGAGUGGUGACGAUCCCAGAUCAGGUGUUGGGCUCGCUCCGCUGGUGGCUCGAUCAACAGCAGGUCUGCGAAGGGAUGCCCUUCGCUGCCCCACAGCCCACUCUGACGUUAGUAACGGAUGCAUCGGACCUGGGUUGGGGGGCGCAUCUGGGGGAACUGCGGACCCAAGGGCUGUGGUCCAGAGAAGACAAACUGCUUCACAUCAAUCUAAAGGAGCUAAGAGCGGUUCGCCUCGCCUGUCAGACCUUCCACGCCACCUUAGAAGGUCACAGCGUGGCAGUCCUGACGGACAACACUACCGGCAUGUUCUAUAUAAACAAGCAGGGCGGGUCCCGGUCUUCUCCCCUCUGUCGCGAGGCACUCCAAUUAUGGGACUUUUGUAUAGCCCAUGCGAUCCACCUCAUCGCAACGUAUCUUCCGGGGAUCCAAAACGGCUUAGCGGA
rnacentral:lncRNA from 1 species